rnacentral:lncRNA from 1 species
GUAUGUAAGGGAGGGGAGGCAGCGUCAGCGUUCGUGGAGCAUGAUCCUCCUUGCUACCUCUCCAGCUCUGUCACUCUCCUGCAUACGUGUACUGUAAGCAGACGUGUGUUUAUGGCUGAUGAACACGUCUUUCCAUAGGUACGGUUAGCCUGAGAGCUUGGUAUUAAUAAAUCAAAAUCUAGCCGCUGACAGGGAACACGCUGCAGAUGAACAAGGGGCUCUGGCAUCCCAAUGAGAGAGCAAGGCAACCUGGUCACGUUUGCACUGUGCCUCCCAAGAUCAGUAAGCAAAGUGAUCAUGUAGACCAUGUGAUGUAUACAUUGGGCGAGAUGGGGUGGCAGACAAUAUUACAGUGGCACUUGCCCAUUGUGUGACAUACACUCUUCACGAGACUGUCAUUUCUGUUGGCCUUCUUGAUCAAGAGGGUUUUUGUCUUCUCUCACUCAUCUCACCGUGCGCAAGGGUGAAAUGUUUGUGUGCACAUGUCAGCCUGGCAGUUUUAUGCUUCCAAAAUCUUUUUGUGAGACGUUGCAGAAGCCCAAUUGCAUCACAUUGUUUUGCCCCCCACCAGCACCUUUAAGUCAUGUUUAAACUAAAGAACUGUGGAGUCAUUUUCUCUUAGUAAUGACUUAUCCUGCUUUGCUUUCUUAAUUUCUUCAGAGGAAAAUAGGAGUAGAGGAAAGAUGUUAUUGAUAGUGGAGAAAAAAGAGGUGCCCAUUUCAAGUGUAGUAGCUGUUAAAUAUGUAGGCAUGUGCAUGAUUCAUUUUGCAGUUAUAAAAAUGAAAAGCAUACCAUCUUGCCUCGUUGCCUUGGAGUAUACUUUCUCCUGCAGCAACAAGCAGUACAGACUGCUCUUCCCCUCUUCUCUCCCCCUUCCACCUUCAGCCAGUCCUGACAAAAUGCCAGUUAGAAAGGUCAGCCUGUUUAUGUAAAGAUAAGUGUUUCUUCACGAAGAUGGCUGUACAUCAAGCCUGCAGUGACUAUUAGAUAGACUUUGGGAUUCAAGGUACUCAGUAAUAGUCCUGUUCAUUUUCUAGAACUGAUAAAAUCACAGAGAAAACAGAAGACAGACAUAGCACAAGUGGGAUAGAUCAACAUGCUAGGGUGUGUGGAGGCAGCAGUAUCUUCAUGGCAGUGUUUGUUACUGCAAAUGCUAGUAAGAUCUGUGGACCUUCAUCUAUUUGCAUGCAUGUAUGUAACUACAUAAACACACACACAUAUUUAUAAAGAGAUUUGCUGACAUGAUGUCCUAGACUGAAUUUGUUCUGCAGUUAUUUCAAGCCAGAAGAGGUAGUUAAAAUCAAAGAGAAUUUGAUUUUGAGUCUUACCAACUCUGUCCCCUCAAAAAAAGAGAAGGUUGACUUUACUGGACUUUGGCACAGACCGUUCAUAGUUAAGUUCAGCUUUCAUUUCAUAGCACCUACAAGCACAGUGGUCACAGUCUGAUCAAUAUUUCAGUGUGCAUUAUUUCCCUUCCUGUUAAUCAAGAGCGGUACAGUAAUGUUUCCUCAACUCAUAUCACUUCUUCUGGCCCUUUUCCUGCUUUAAAUCUAAUAAGGAUAUUCUGAUACUAUUAACUUGUGUAUAUUUGUUGAAUACCUAGAAGUUAAAAGAAUACUGUCUUGGAAUAACAACAUAAAUCUUCCACUGAUGUCCAUUCCAAGAUCUAAUUGCCACCACAGUUCCUUUUUAGACCUUGAAAUGAUCCUGAAGCAGACCUGAAGUCUCGUAGAGGACUUUGUUGCCUUUUGUUCAAUGAUCGUAAUAAAAUAUUACAAAAUGUCAUCAUAGGUCAGAAUACUGAAAAUGCAAACAGUAGAACCAUGGCACUAACUGUACUUGAAUGGGGCAAGAACCAUGAACUGGCAGUGCAGAAUCCACACUUGGAACCUAGUUUCACCUAAGGAACUGCACAUCAUCGUGUGAGAAUGAGGAGGUGCAUUACCUCUGCCAGUCCUACAAGCCAAGUGGCAGUGAAUUAGAGGUCAUCAAAUUCCUUUUUCUUGUAAAUCUACAUUAAGUAGUGGUGUGUCUGUGUAUUGGUAAAUACACAUCUUAAUAAUAUAUCCUGUAACACUUUUUUUUACCCUAUUUUUUAUUUUUUUACCUUUUUUUUUUAACCAUAUUUUUCACCCUCUUUUUUUCCAGAACUGGCUCCAUGUUUCUUUUUAGGUACUGACAAUGCAUGCAAUUUAUUAAAUCAGUUCAGCAGUUACUGUUAAUUUGCAGCAGGAAAAAAGUAUUAUGCAAACAAUGCAGUCACCUUCUUACAGUAGCUUCUUCCUCCUAGCUAUAAUGAAUUCUCUGCAUGCUGGUCUCCUGUAAAUUCUCCAUCUAAACAUUCCAUUUAUUGCAUGUUUUGUCAGGAGAAACUCUACUUGACUUUUGAAACAGUUGGGAGGAGGAAAAUGAUAACCUACUGAAGUGCCUUGCCCUUAACUGAUAUUAUGGCAAAGUAAUUAAAGCAAAAAGGCUCACACUUUGCACUCCUUAUGAUCUUGGUGUUUUUUGAAUGGGUGAGAUUAUUUUUAGACAUUGAUUUGAAUGUCAAAUUUGCAUAUUCAUCUAGAAAACAUAGCAAAUGCUUAAUUGCCUAUGUCCAAGUGUUUAUAUUUUGCUUUGAAAACAACAUGUCACAUAUUCCCCGGCUUCAUUUUUUGUUGCUGUUUGAGUGCACCCACAAAUUGAACUACUUAUCUAAAUAAGUCGUGUGUUUGCUCAGUAUAGAAACAAAUAUGCUGUGUUUAGAAUUUUGCUUCAUAAACAUAUUUGACCUAUGUGCUUUUACUUAAAUGGAGAUAUGAUUCAUUCGAAUGGAAUUACAGCCAGAUACUUUUCCUUUUCUUGCAGAGGAGUUUAUUUUUGGAAUUUACCAGCAUUUCACUUGUAGGGAAUGAAUUGGAACUUUUAUAAUUUAUUUUUUGGUGGAAAAAUAAAUCAGAGAAAUACAGUGUUAACAAUGACUGUGUACUUACUUAGAAUCAUGGAGUAUCCUGAGCUAGAAGGGAUCUGCAAAGAUCACUGAGUCCAACUGCUGGCUACACACAUCAUUAUCUAGAAAUUAAGCCAUAUGUCUAAUAGAGAUGUCCCUGUUCAUUCGCUGUGGGAGCUGCAGCCGCCAUGAUUCCUCCCCUCAGCCCCCUCUGCUCUACACUGAACCAACCGAGGGAUCUCAGCCCCUCCUCACACACCUUGCCUUCAGACCCUUCCCCAUCUCCAUAGCCCUCCUUUGGACGCUAAUAGCUUUAUGUUCUUUUUGUAUCUGGUGCCCAACCCAGUGCUCCAGGCGAGGCCACACCAGGAAGAGCAGAGUGGGCGGCACUGGGCCUGGUGCACCCCAGGGUGCGGUUGGCCUUUUAGGCUGCCAGCACACACUGUUGAUUCGUAUUCAGCUUACAAUCAAUCAGAAUUCCCAGACUUUCUGCAGGACUGCUCUCCAGCCUCUUGUCCCCUGGUUUCUAUAUAUCUAAGGUUGCCUCAUUCCAGGCGCAGAAUCCAGAACAUGCUCUUGUUAAAUGUCAUAUGGUUGGUGAUAGUCCAGCCAUCUAAUUUAUCAAGAUCCCUCUGGAAGGCCACUCUACCCUCAAGGGAGUCAGCAGGUCCUUUGAAUUUAGUACUGUCAAAAAACUUAUUUAGUAUGCAUUCCAGUCCUGCAUUCACAUCAUGUAUAAAAACAUCAGAGAGGACUGGCCUUAAAAUGCAGUCCCGUGGAGCCCUAGUAGUGACUGGCCACCAGCCUGAUGUGACCCCACUUACUUGAGCCCGACUGAUUGUUCAUGCAUUAGCUCGUGUAUGUAUCUAGGUGUAUGUUGGACAUUUUGCCCAGAAGAGUACUGUGAUGAGUAUUCAAAGUUUUGCUAAAAUUCAACAGCUUACUUCCCUUUCUCCAGUAUGUGGAUAACCUUGUCAUAGCAGGAAGAAUUUAGUUAAUCAGUACUUUCCCCUCAUAAACCCAUGUUGGCUAUGACCAGUGGCUACAAUGCCUUUCAGGUGCUUUUUAGUACCCCCCAGAAUAGACUUCUCCAUUAUUUUAUCAGGCACUGAAGUGUGACUGAUUGGCCUGUUACUUCUAGGGUCUUCUUUCUUGCCCUCCUUGAAAACUAGGAUGUUUGACAGCUUCCAGUCAAUGGGGAUCUCUCCAGUUUCCCAGUAUCACUGAAAAAUAAUUGAGAGAGGUUUUCUGAUGACAUGAGCCAGUUCUUUCAGUACUUUGGGAUGAAUCCUAUCGGGGAACAUAGACUCCUUAUGUCUUACACCUACCCUGACAUUUGGCAGUAAAGAAUAAAAAGUGUUGGCGGUUUUUUUUUUUUUUUUUUAAGGUUAUAAGUGUCAUUCAGACACCAGUCUUCUGAGAUGGGAAAGACCAAUGAUGAAAAGACCAGUGAUGUUUCUUCACUCCUUUCAGAAGAUAUUAACUCCAAGUUCUUUCCUGUCUUGCAAGAGUUUGGGCGUUGCAGAGAACAACAGGUGAAGGCGUGAAGUGCAACACUGAGAAAACAUGCACAUGCACAUAGGAUAAUCUCAGUGUCCCAGUUGUGCACUUGCAUGGCUAGGUAAAACAGAACAAAACAAGACAGCAACCUGAAGGGGACAGAGUGAGUGACUGGCUAGGUCCUAGCUGCCUGCUGGGGCCACCCUCCAAAGCCAUUUCUGGGACUGGAGAAGUAAGAUGUGAUGCCUCGGCAGUUGUUGAAUUUUUGAAACAGAGAACAGUCCUCCCAGUUUUCCUGUUUCACUGAUCUCAGAUUACACAUGCAUUACCUGUGAUCCUUGGAAAUGUAACAAGGUGCUAAAAUAAAUUAGAAAAUAAAGAUGUAAGCUUAAAAAGUGAGAGCACGUUCUCAUACUAAUAGUAUUAAUAGCAUUAAGCUGCCUUUGGUGUCAUGUUUCAUUCUCUUGGUAGCUUUCCAUCACUGUCAUGCUUUGUGACUAAUUUUUCUGUGGUUGGUUUCUGCUUUUUCUGAUUGUCAUGAGUGAACAGACACAAAAACAAGUUAUUCACAAAACCAUGGAGGUUCUGAUGGCCUCAUUUAGCUCUAUGAUUAUGCUGUACGGUAUGUAUGGGAUCAGUGAACCCUGCGGGUGUUAGGUAGAACCCCUAAUGAAGGUGGAUAAUAAUAUUUAUUGGCAUUUGUCAUAAGUGGAGCUAAAGACUUAUAUAGAAUGCAGGUGAGGAUUUAUUUGGAAACCUAAAACAUUAUAACACCUGUUAGUGAGAGCCAGUGGGACCCCGCAGUGUGCUCUGUGUGAUGUGAUGCGACUGAGCAGUGUCCAAUCUGCUUUGGUUUUAAAUAGACUGUGGCUCCAUCAUCCACUUAUGUACACUGCUGAUAAAUAUAACUGAAGGAUCUUAUCGCUGCCUUAAUCCUUCAUUCACGUCGCCUGCUAUUAUCUCUUAUACUUGUCAUGCUUUGAUCCUAGAGAGGCUGGACAUUUUUUUGGUUAAAGAAUUCUGGCUUAUUUUGUGUUUACACACAUGUUCCCUGUAGGGCUUCAAUACCACCUCAUGGUAUUAUGACAGCGUAACUGAAGGAGAGGGGAUUCUGCUGAUCUGUGGAAUGCUCCCACAGAGCAAUAAUUGUACUUACAAUGUUAACUGUUUCUAACUUGGAAAUUAUUUAAUGUAUUUUGUACUCAGAGAAUUAUGAAAAAUGAGGGGGAAAAAAGAGAUAGUAUCUACAUUUUUCAUAACCUCAACAAAAUAAGAUUAUUAAAUUAUUCCCAAUUUUCUUUCAGAUUAGAAGUAACUCAAAACACUGAAGGUUUUAAUUAGAACAAUUAGCAUGGCAGAAGUGGCUAGUAGGUCAGAGAGAAGACUGCUUUAGUUGGAAGUGGUUCUCAGGUUCUACUUUUUCUGAAUCACAUAAGGCACACAUUUGUUGGUGGAUCCUGUCUUAGAGAUUUCUGCCCAACUAAAAUAAGCUUGCUAGCUCCUAAUUUUGUUCUUUAUCUGAGAAAAAUUGUUCCAUUCCAUCAUUCACUGUCUGUAAGUCAAUUUCUGACAAAACGCAUCAGGCUAAUACGCUGCAUAGAAAGUUCACUGACUAACUUGUAAUCAGCUUCAAUUGUAAAUAUAUUCUAAGGACUAUCUAUUUAACUGCGUAUAAUAGAAAGCUGCCGUAAAGCUAAACAACCUAUGCGGAUCGAAAUCAUUCAGUUCUUCCAACAUCUCAUAAUUAACACGCCCAUAUAGAGUUUAAAUACUAUAAAGAAGUGAAGAUAACAGUAUGUAAUGGUGCUCACCACAUCCUAGUUUUUCAAAUGCUGUUUCCAUAGAAAUGCAAAACAAAAGUUGAUCAAUUUUUAUUUCUUAAAUCCCAUUCUUAGAGCACUGCACUCAUCUCAUAUAUUUAUUUGUAGGUGAUCUUGUUCUGCACGUUACUUUCAGCAACAGCUGAUAAAAUGUACCUAAUGAAUAUCUUACGCUUUUCACAGGUAAUCAUGAUGCACUUUACAGUGGCUUAGUUAAAAUUUUCUCUUCUUACAGAGCUUUAAAUUUGCUAAGCAGCAAGGAAUCAUUGAAUCACAGAUUGGCUUGGGGUGGAAGGGAACUUAAAGAUCAUCUAGUUCAAACCCCCCUGCCAUAGUCAGGGCUGCUACCCAGUAGAUUGGGUUACCCAGGGCCCCAUCCAAUAACAGCUCUUCUGCAAAGUUUGCCAAUGUAUCUGCUGUUUAUAAUAGUACUGGGAGUAUUUUUCAUUCUUAAAUCAGCUAUUGGAACAAUGAAGUAAUUUUGAGCUAUGCUGUUUCUUAACAUGCUUUUUGAGCAGUAAUUACUUCAUCAUCACCUGCAAAAUCUUGCAGUGCUGGAAAAUUAAAACAAUUAUCCUAACAAGUUUUCUAUGAGAUUUUUCAUCCAAGCACAUUCAGAGUGCUAGCUUCUCCAUGAAAAUCUAUUUCUACACCCAAAGUUAUUCUUGCUUUACUCAGACAUUCUCCAGAAUUAUUUAAAGAGCUCUCUAUCAAAACGAUGACUUGUCUCUAGCCAGUCACAAAUACAGAUUUGGCUUGGUCACCAAAAGUCUCCCCUGGAGGUAUUCACCUGAGUUCCUCAUCUCUGCAAAAAUCACAAACGUUUAAAACCUUCAGUCUCCAAGUUAUUAAAUUAUUAUUAAAUUAAACUAUUGAGAAUAGUUUCUGAGUAUUUUUGAUAAUAUAUCAUUGUUAAGGUUGGAUUCCUAUUUACACUGAUCUAACCCUGCAAUUGAAGUUGGUAGAAAACAUACAUGAACCACGGAAAAAUUAUUCCAGUUACCUCCUGUGAUAUAAUCAUAGAAUCAUUUGAGUUGGAAGGGAACCUUUAAGAUCAUCUAGUCCAACUCCCCUGCAAUGAACAGGGACACCCACAGUUCCAUCAGGUGCUCGAUCCAGCCUGACCUUGGCUGUCUGCAGGGAUGGGGCACCAUCACCUCUCUGGGCAACCUGUGCCACUGUCAUUAUUGUAAAUAAGGACAAUGUAAACUUAUACCCAGGCUAAAUCGGCCCUCUUUUAGUUUGAAGUCAUUACCGCUUGUCCUAUCACAACAUAGCCAUCUAAAGAGCAGGGCUGUGCUCUAUCCUUUUAUCCCCCAGCUUGUACUGAUAGUGGGGCUUGCCAUGGCCCUGGUGCAAGACUUUGCAAUUGGAUCUGUUGAACCUCAUGAGAUUCUCCUGGGCCCACUGCUCAGCCUGUCUAGAUCUGUCUGGAUGGCAUCCCAUCCCUUAGGCAUGUUGACCACACUACACAGCUUGGUCCUGGUGUGGUUCUCAUGGUGGGCUGCAUGGACCAUGCUCCAACACACUCUCUUCUUUAAGUCUCAGGAACUGAAACACGAUCUCCUCCUUCUGUGAUCCUGGUGCUGCAGGGUUGUUUCUCUCACAUUUUUCCCUCACUCCUCUGCUUAUCAAGCAUUUCUGCCUUCUCUCAAUUCUGUUUUCCCAGAGGUGUCACCAGCAUUACUGGUAGGCUCCUCUGUGGCUGUGAUGGGGCUACUGCAGAGCCAACUGGACCAGGCUGGAACCAGCUGUGCCUGACACUGGACAGCCCCUGAUCUCCUCUCACAGGCUGCUGCCAACACCUAGAUGUGGACACCCAGUAGAACACUGGUGUGGAAUACUUUGGAAAGCACAUAUCCAUAAGAUUAAGGAUAUACUGACUUAUCUCUGUUAAAAGAACUGAAGUUGCGGGUUGUAAGAGAUUAUUCUUUUGUAUCAUUGACUCAAAGUUUGCUGAGGAACAAGUCCAGGCAAGUCCUGGGCAAAGGCAGAGAAAUCCUUUGUCUUGCGGACACUGAUGGACAGGUCCUGGCUAAGGAUUGUGAAAUCCUCUAAGGAGCACAGAUGGACAAGGCCAGGGGCAACGAGAGAGAGAUAAGCUGCUGCUAAUGGCCGGGAAACGGUCUUUUUGUGUGGACUUAUCUCGAGGAAGAUGGCCAUCUAAGGAGGUAUGCACAGGACUCUUGCUCAAGCACCCAGGAAUGUCACGUAGGCAGGAGAAAAAUGGAGGAUAAAAGAGGGUCCAACAACCACGGCAGAGUAGAGGCUGAUCUCUCACCACGACUCGAGCUUUCUGCCUUCAGAUCCUUCUCUACGGACCGUUUGCUGACGGACUUCCCUGGGCCUGCUACCUGAGAUUUGCUGCUUCCUCCCUGACCUGCACCCUCUCGUUGCCCAAGAUCGGCCUCGCUGCUCCUGCCCUUCGGCCUCGGACCGUCGGAACGUCGUGCAACGGGACUACUGCCGGAUCCUGGUGGUGCCUAUCCCCGCUUUACGCAAUUCUUGCUUCUUUCUAUCUUUUCUAUCGCUCGCCUUCCCUUCCCCAUCACCCCAAUCCUUAAUAGUGUCCGUCCUCCCCUUUCUUCAUCUCCCUUAUUAACACUUGUAAUAAACUGGUCGGACCAACAUUUGAACCGUUGUUUCUUAAUCUCAUGCCGGGCAUACAUAUUUCAAAGAACCUCCUCUCCCUCCUAUAAAUUGGAGCGAGACACGGGUAUACAGAAACUGUGUAAUUCAUUGUGCCUAAAGUGUAUUACUGUGAGCCAACAUGAGAAAAAAGUCAGAAAUCAUAGGACUUGUUCCUCGUUAAGAGGAACGAUAUGCAAAUCUUUGUUGAUUGAUUGAUUAUCAUCAAUCUUGCUUGAUUAUCAUCACUGGAUCAGCAAGAAUCUUGCAGGUAGUACUCUGGUAUCAUUUGCCUUCUCAUGCUGAUCCACUUUUCGGCUCCCUUUAAAGCAACAGCC